CUGGCAGCAAACGGUACCCUGGGCUAUUUGUAGAACGGAGGUUGGGGUCAGAGAGAGUGUGAAAAAUUAAGAAUAACACUUCCUUUCCUCCCUGAACUUUAAUUGCCCUUUUAAAUAAAGCCAAUGCUUUCUUCCUUUGCUCAGUUAACUGCCAAAAAAGGUUUAGUUUCACUCACUAUUCUCCACGCCAUCCCACCCAAAGGAAACCAGAUGACUUCGAUUUCAUCCGAGAGUGAAGUAGCUGGGACCAGCCACUUUGCCUAGAGUCCCUCUGGAUUACUGCCAGGGCUUUAGGAAGGUGGCCCAUGGAAGAAGGGAAGAUGCAGAGAAGACAAAGCCCUCCUAUGGGACCAGACACUGCACCUUCAGAUCCUAUCUGACUUAAGAAAGCGGGGAGAGAGAAGAAAAGAAGAAAGAGGAGGGUGAAGGAACCUGUUGACCACCUGCUCUGGUCAGGUCACCGUGCUGGGUUUAAGAGAAUGUAUGAAACCUGGCACAGCAACUAACACAUAGAAGUCAAAGAGUUACAGAAGUGUCAAAACUCUCAAGCAAGAUCUACUAGUGGCAGUCAUGACCACACUCCGCUAUUGAAAUUCCUCUUUG